UACGUAGGGGGCAAGCGUUGUCCGGAUUUAUUGGGCGUAAAGAGCGUGUAGGCGGCUGGGUAGGUCCGUUGUGAAAACUCGAGGCUCAACCUCGAGACGCCGAUGGAAACCCUCCAGCUGGAGUCCGGAAGAGGAGAGUGGAAUUCCUGGUGUAGCGGUGAAAUGCGCAGAUAUCAGGAAGAACACCCGUGGCUAAGGCGGCUCUCUAGUACGGUACUGACGCUGAGACGCGAAAGCGUGGGGAGCGAACAGG
rnacentral:rRNA from 1 species